CAAGUCAAUAUAGGUAAUUAGUACAUAUAAUUUUCUAUUUGGCAUAAUAAGCAUUUGAAGAUUCAAGAUAAAUCAGUCAAAGUCGUAGAUUACUCUUCCUUCCGGUCUAUUCUACAUGAGGGUAGGGAAACAUCAGAUACACAUGCCAUCACAGUAAGCAACACACCAACAGCCAUGAUGGAUUAGUAUUUUCAAUUUUUUCUUAUUUGUCUUGUGUAUUCGCUAUGCUCGUAUAGUGCUAGGGCCUAACAUUAUAAAUUUAUAAUUCAAUAUAGUUAUCUGAAUAUAUUAGAUGUUGCCAAAAAAGCAUUUGUCAAGUACUCAAAAAAGAAAAAAAAACAAGAAGAACAAAGUAUUGUUAUGUUUUAUGAAUUACACAUAUAUUGUAAAGUAAUUUUUAUUAUCCAUACUAUAUACAACAAUUUUAAUAUAAAAGAUAGUUGAACGAGCCUUGCCUUGUUACUUGCCCAAAGGCUCUUAAAAUUAUAGAGCCGGCCCGAGCAGCUUCUCGAAGCCUACCGCUUCUUCCCAACGUCCCAGAUAUCGAUCCGCGCGAUGGGAAGUCUGAUCUCACCUCCUGCCCGAUUCUUCUCUACGUCAUCGAGAUGAUCCAGUGCCGAUUCCGCUGCCGAUUCCCUUCCCCUCUUCCCAUCUUUCCAAUGCGUUAUAGCUUAGUAUAUAGGACAUAGAGGAUGACAAAUGGAUCCCUUUUGUCAUUGUCUAUCUAAAUAGAUUUGAGGGCUGC
rnacentral:lncRNA from 1 species